GAUGAACGCUGGCGGCGUGCCUAAUACAUGCAAGUCGAACGAGGUGCUUUUGUAGCAAUACGAGAGUAUCCUAGUGGCGAACGGGUGAGUAACGCGUUGGUGACCUGCCACAAAGUGUGGGAUAACAGUCCGAAAGGAUUGCUAAUACCGCAUGUGGCCAUCGGGUUUAGAAACCGAUGUCUAAAGCUGCAAGGCGCUUUGGGAGGGACCUACGUCCCAUCAGUCAGUUGGUGAGGUAACGGCCCACCAAGGCGACGACGGGUAGGGGGCCUGAGAGGGUGGCCCCCCACAAUGGAACUGAAACACGGUCCAUACACCUACGGGUGGCAGCAGUAGGGAAUAUUGCACAAUGGGCGAAAGCCUGAUGCAGCAACGCCGCGUGAGCGAAGAAGGCCUUCGGGUCGUAAAGCUCUUUUCUGGGAGAUGAGAAAGGACAGUAUCCCAGGAAUAAGUCUCGGCUAACUACGUGCCAGCCGCCGCAGUAAGAC
rnacentral:rRNA from 1 species